rnacentral:rRNA from 1 species
GAUGAACGCUAGCUACAGGCUUAACACAUGCAAGUCGAGGGGUAGCAGGGUAGCAAUACCGCUGACGACCGGCGCACGGGUGAGUAACACGUAUCCAACCUUCCCAUAACUCGGGGAUAGCCUUUCGAAAGAAAGAUUAAUACCCGAUAGUACUUUUUUGAGGCAUCUUGAGAAAGUUAAAGAUUUAUUGGUUAUGGAUGGGGAUGCGUUCCAUUAGAUUGUUGGUGAGGUAACGGCUCACCAAGUCUUCGAUGGGUAGGGGUUCUGAGAGGAAGGUCCCCCACAUUGGUACUGAGACACGGACCAAACUCCUACGGGAGGCAGCAGUGAGGAAUAUUGGUCAAUGGGCGAGAGCCUGAACCAGCCAAGUAGCGUGAAGGAUGAAGGUCCUAUGGAUUGUAAACUUCUUUUAUAGUAGAAUAAAGUGAUCCACGUGUGGAUUUUUGUAUGUAUACUAUGAAUAAGGAUCGGCUAACUCCGUG